rnacentral:lncRNA from 12 species
UGUUGUAAAGAAUGAAACCUGAGAAAGACUCAAUAAGUAGAUGCCAAUUGAAACUUGAAAUCUGAAUUGAGAUUCAGUUGUUCUGAUUUGGAGCAAGCAGCCCAACACUUUACAUAGCAUCAGCUGGAACACUUUUGCCUCAACUGUUAAUUUAAGAAAAGUUAAAAGUCUUCAAACAAUGCAACAAUGCCAAGAAAAAGAAUUUCAUGUACAAAAUUAAAUGGUGGUUCCACCUCCCUGCACAGCAUCACUUCUUAGAGGUUACUCAUACCAACCCCAGUCAGGUCCAUUUUAUGACUGGCUAAGUCUGGAAAAACAUCCUCAAACAUAAGGAUGAAUACCUCUGGUCAAUGAGGUAUAGGUGGGAGAUCGCUGGGCAACCUUUUUCCUCUUUUCCCUCUUCUAUUCCUGUAAUACAGACUAAAUCCCUAAAGAAGCAAUAGCUGUCUUGUAGCCAAAAGGACAAAAAAAAUAAUAAAAUUAAAACCAAAAAACA